GGUGUCUGUGCUGUGAGUUAUUUUUUAGAGCUGUAGGCAGGGAGCAAACACACCUCUCCCAGCAUUGUAAUGUCUAAUAAUUUCUCAAAUUUUUAUGUGUUUAUCAUCACAUCAGCCCUCUGAGAUAUGGGAUUAGAGGGAAUUUGUGAGGAGAGAGAUUCUCACCAACGUCGGUGAUUUCACAUUAACCUUCAGGGCCAGAGUCAGCCUGUAGCAGCUCUCAUUUCCCGCAGCGGGAACAGCUGGGGGAGACAACCCAGUCACUCUCCAGAGGUGUUUAGAUGGGAGCAGAGCUCCUCCAGAAAUCUGGCUCCAAUUACGAGCACUACGUGCUUUAAAAAUCUGACCCUCAUGCUCAGUGUCGGCUAGACAUUUUACAAACAAGUCUGAUGAUAAUGGCAUAGUCAUACAGGCAAAGUGCUCCCAGCAUAGACGCAGCCCAGGCUUGGGGCUUUGCCAGCGCAGCUAUUCGGGGAUGGGCUCGCACCCUACAAGUG